rnacentral:tRNA from 1 species
GGCGUGAUAGCUCAGUUGGUAGAGCAACGGAUUGAAAAAUCCGGUAGUCAGUUGUCCGGAUUGAAAAUCCGUGUGUCCCCAGUUCGAUCCUGGGUCUCGCCACCA